UGUGUAGGCGGGGAGGCAAGUCAGAUGUGAAAUCCCCGAGCUCAACUUGGGAACUGCGUUUGGAACUGUCAGACUAGAGUGCGUCAGAGGGGGGUGGAAUUCCGCGUGUAGCAGUGAAAUGCGUAGAGAUGCGGAGGAACACCGAUGGCGAAGGCAGCCCCCUGGGAUGACACUGACGCUCAUGCACGAAAGCGUGGGGAGCAAACAGGAUUAGAUACCCCCGUA
rnacentral:rRNA from 1 species